AUCGAACGCUGGCGGCAGGCCUAACACAUGCAAGUCGAGCGGAGCGGCGGCCGGGUGAGUAAGGCCUAGGAAUCUGCCUGGUAGUGGGGGAUCACGUCCGGAAACGGGCGCUAAUACCGCAUACUAUCAGAUGAGCCUAGGUCGGAGUAGCUAGGUGGUGGGGUAAAGGCUUACCAAGGCGACGAUCCGUAACUGGUCUGGGAGGAGGAUCAGUCACACUGGAAAUGGGACACGGGCCAGAAUGCUACGGGAGGCAGCAGUGGGGAAUAUUGGACAAUGGGCGAAAGCCUGAUCCAGCAAUGCCGCGUGUGUGAAGAAGGUCUUCGGAGUGUAAAGCACUUUAAGUUGGGAGGCGUUACCAACAGAAUAAGCACCGGCUAACUUCGUGCCAGCCGCCGCGGUAAUUC
rnacentral:rRNA from 1 species